AUAAUAAACCUUACAGAUUUCAUCAGAACCUCCUGAGAGCCUCGGCCUCUCAGUUUGGAUGCUUUGCUCCAGAGCAGAGCUGUGUUGAUGUGGACCAGAACUCCAUCCAGACUCUGAUUCCUGAUCAACGUCAGCGUCAUGGAAACCAUGGAGGAUGAGCGGGUUGAGUCAAUCAGUCUGAGACGUAUCAAUGAAACCUGGUUCUUCAUAAAGCAGCUCACAGGCUCUGCAGGAUCCCACUGACUUUCAGAUAAACAUGAGAAAAUGAUCUGGAUUUUUCUCUAACAAGGAGAAGCUCGUCUGUUGUCGGCUGAACUGUGCCUACAGACCUGUCGCCCUGACAUCCCGCAGCAUGGAGGUCCUGGAGAGACUCCUGUUGGCCUACCUGAGUAAGCAGACAAGCAGACCCCCUUCAACACAGCCUGUGUCAUCUGGACAAAGUAGCAGCAUUGUGAAGAUCAUGUUCUCUGGUUUCUCCAGUCCAUUUAACAUAAUUCAGCCUGAUCUGAUCUGUGAUAAACUCCAGAAGACAGAAGUGGAGGYCUCAACAAUCACCUGGAUCUAUGACUACCUGAUAACAGACCACAGUUUGAGAGACCGAUUGACUGUGUGUCCAACCAGGCGGGGAGCACCACAGGGCUCUGUACUCUCACCAUUCCUUUUCACUCUGUACACUUCAGACUUCCAGCACAAGUCCAACAUCUGUCAUCCACAGAAAUGCUCAGAUGAGUGUGCAGCUGUUGGGUGAAUCAGAAAUGGACAAGAGGUCGAGUACAGAGAGCUGGUGGACCGCUUUGUGUUAUGGAGGGAACAAUCAAAUCAUCUUAAAUGUAACAAAACAAAGGAGAUGAUUGUUGUUGAGAAGCCAGUUACCAUUAUAGGUGAAGAAGUGGAGGUGGUUGAGGAAUAUAGAUGCCUCAGAAAGUAUGACGGCGCUUUAUGGCCAGACUAAGAGAGUUUUACUUUCAAAUACAAGAAUGCAGUCAUAAAACUACGAGAACCAAGUCGUAUUAGCAGAAUAGUUUAAAUAUUGGCAGAGUGAAGACGCAAUAUUGCCGGAAGAAAGUYGUUAAAUUAAAAAGCUUUGAUGGAGUGAUAUGAAACGUGA